rnacentral:rRNA from 1 species
CCUACGGGUGGCAGCAGUGGGGAAUAUUGGGCAAUGGGCGCAAGCCUGACCCAGCAACGCCGCGUGAAGGAAGAAGGCUUUCGGGUUGUAAACUUCUUUUAUCAGGGACGAAGCAAUUGACGGGACCUGAUGAAUAAGCCACGGCUACAUACGUGCCAGCAGCCGCGGUAAUACGGAGGGGGCAAGCGUUAUCCGGAUUUACUGGGUGUAAAGGGAGCGUAGGAGGAAGGUUAAGUCAGCGGUCAAAUGUCGGUGCUCAACACCGGCCUGCCGUUGAAACUGGUCGUCUUGAGUGAGCGAGAAGUAUGCGGAAUGCGUGGUGUAGCGGUGAAAUGCAUAGAUAUCACGCAGAACUCCGAUUGCGAAGGCAGCAUACCGGCGCUCAACUGACGCUGAGGCACGAAAGCGUGGGGAUCGAACAGGAUUAGAUACCCCUGUAGUC